rnacentral:lncRNA from 1 species
ACUGCUAUAUAUACCCUUUGUUUUUCAUCCGCCACUCAAUUUUUAGAAUUUCCAAAAAAGCUUUAGGCUAUGGAAUUCAUCCCCUCAAAAAUCUAAUCAAAACCAAAGGCUUCCUCCUAAAAGAGGACAGAUCAAGAUGAAGAUACUCAAAUCUAUUGUAAGAUCAGUCGGUGCAUUUGUAUCGGUAGGCAGUAAGUCAAGGAGCUCAAAUUCUACCAC